CCUACGGGAGACAGCAGUGAGGAAUAUUGGUCAAUGGACGAGAGUCUGAACCAGCCAAGUAGCGUGAAGGAUGACUGCCCUAAGGGUCGCAAACUUCUUUUAUAAAGGGAUAAAACGAGGCACGCGUGCCUUUUUGCAUGUACUCUAUGAAUAAGCAUCGGCUAACUCCGUGCCAGCAGCCGCGGUAAUACGGAGGAUCCGAGCGUUAUCCGGAUUUAUUGGGUUUAAAGGGAGCGUAGAUGGGUUGUUAAGUCAGUUGUGAAAGUUUGCGGCUCAACCGUAGAAUUGCAGUUGAAACUGGGAGUCGUGAGUGCAGUGGAGGUAGGCGGAAUGCGUGGUGUAGCGGUGAAAUGCUUAGAUAUCACGAAGAACCCCGAUUGCGAAGGCAGCGUACUAAGCUGUGACUGACAUUGAGGCUCGAAAGUGUGGGUAUCAAACAGGAUUAGAUACCCCUGUAGUC
rnacentral:rRNA from 1 species